GACGAACGCUGGCGGCGCGCUUAACACAUGCAAGUCGAACGGAAAGGCCUGCUUUCCCUUGUGGAUUGCGGGUACUCGAGUGGCGAACGGGUGAGUAACACGUGAGUGAUCUGCCCCCAACUUGGGUAUAAGCCUGGGAAACUGGGUCUAAUUCCCGAUAGGACUGCAGGGUGGUGCCUGUGGUGGAAAACGAUUUUCUAGUGGUUGGGGAUGAGCUCGCGGCCUAUCAGCUUGUUGGUGGGGUAAUGGCCUACCAAGGCGGCGACGGGUAGCCGGCCUGAGAGGGUGGACGGCCACAUUGGGACUGAGAUACGGCCCAGACUCCUACGGGAGGCAGCAGUGGGGAAUAUUGCACAAUGGGCGGAAGCCUGAUGCAGCGACGCCGCGUGGGGGAUGUCGGCCUUCGGGUUGUAAACUCCUUUCGACCGCGAGGAAGCCACCUGGUUGGAAGGGUGGUGACGGUAGUGGUAGAAGAAGCACCGGCUAACUACGUG
rnacentral:rRNA from 1 species